rnacentral:ncRNA from 1 species
AAUAAACCUAUGAGCAAGAGUAGUAGGAAUAACGGCUUGCACAAAGAGAGCUGCCGGUUGGUGGGAAGGCAGUUGCAAAGGUUAUUCUGAAUGGACUUGUGAGGGAAGCCCGAAAUUGGAAAAAAGAGUAGGCGCUUACGGGUGCCCUUCCCGUUAUCAGCAGGGUGUAUAUGUUGGUAUACAAAAAUGAGUGGGCGAUUUAUUCGCCAAUGUGGGUGGCACCGCAGAAGUGAACAGCUUUUGUCCCUGUC